rnacentral:lncRNA from 1 species
GGUUCGGACCCGAGGAACCGAGGACCUCAGCAGUGAGAAAGCUGCUUCAGAGUCAUUAGAGCUUCAGCCAGAGGUGAGUGGAAUAAUUCUUUACGUUUCAAAGCAAAUAAAUAAAUUUUGAGCAUGAUACAUGCAUCACGUAUGCCAUGAGAUAUACUAGGAUUGUUUGCAUUAGAAUUCACGAAUAUGUUGCAUUGCAUUUUUUAUGUUGAUGUGGGUGGAUGUUGAAUGAUCCUUUAGUCCUCGUAUGAUAUAAUAUGAUGAUGAUACGGUAUGGAAGACCAGUAAGGCCCAUUCUACGCCCCUGGCACAGUUGAAAUGUUAUGUUAUGUUAUGCUAUGGUAAGAGAAAGACCAGUGAGGCCCAUUCUACGCCCCUGGCACGAUUGGACUAUGUAGAGGACUAUUGGUGACAAGUCCAUCCUUGAUGUGAUUUGUUUGUGAUGUGUUGCAUUUCAUGAAAGCAUGAAAUUUAAAUGGAAUGUUUAUUUAUUCUACUCACUGGGCUUUAUAGCUCACCCCUCUCCCUUAACCCCCAGGUUUGCAGGUACAGGGUAAACCAGGAGGUCAGCAGGAGUAGAGUCAUGUUGUAUGUAAUAGAUAGAAGUGGACAUGAAUAUGAUUAUGAUGUAAUGUAAAAGUACAGUAUAGAAAUGUAAUGUAAUGAUGC